rnacentral:misc_RNA from 1 species
GCUACCAUGCCCACAGCCCC